rnacentral:rRNA from 1 species
CUAUGUGUUGUUGGGUAGGGGAGCGUUCUGUAAGCCUGCGAAGGUGUACUGUGAGGUAUGCUGGAGGUAUCAGAAGUGCGAAUGCUGACAUAAGUAACGAUAAAGCGGGUGAAAAGCCCGCUCGCCGGAAGACCAAGGGUUCCUGUCCAACGUUAAUCGGGGCAGGGUGAGUCGACCCCUAAGGCGAGGCCGAAAGGCGUAGUCGAUGGGAAACAGGUUAAUAUUCCUGUACUUGGUGUUACUGCGAAGGGGGGACGGAGAAGGCUAUGUUGGCCGGGCGACGGUUGUCCCGGUUUAAGCGUGUAGGCUGGUUUUCCAGGCAAAUCCGGAAAAUCAAGGCUGAGGCGUGAUGACGAGGCACUACGGUGCUGAAG